GAUGAAGAACGUAGCGAAAUGCGAUAAGUAGUGUGAAUUGCAGAAUUCAGUGAAUCAUCGAAUCUUUGAACGCACAUUGCGCCCCUUGGUAUUCCAUGGGGCAUGCCUGUUCGAGCGUCAUUUGUACCUUCAAGCUCUGCUUGGUGUUGGGUGUUUGUCUCGCCUCUGCGUGUAGACUCGCCUCAAAAUAAUUGGCAGCCGGCGUAUUGAUUUCGGAGCGCAGUACAUCUCGCGCUUUGCACUCAUAACGACGACGUCCAAAAGUACAUUUUUACACUCUUGACCUCGGAUCAGGUAGGGAUACCCACUGAACUUAAGCAUAUCAAUAAGCGGAGGA
rnacentral:misc_RNA from 1 species